CCAUUAGAAGGUCAUUUGUAAUUUUCACUAGUGCUGUCUCUGUGCUAUGGUGCACUCUAAAUCCUGACUGAUAAUCUUCAAAUAAAUGAUUGUUCUGUAGAAAGUCACACAGCUGACUGGCAACUACUUUCUCGAGUAUUUUGGAGGUAAAGGGAAGGUUAGAUAUAGGUCUACAGUUGGCUAGGACCUCUGGAUCAAGAGUGGGCUUUUUAAGAAGAGGUUUAAUUACAGCUACUUUAAAGGACUGUGGUACAUAGCCUGUUAGUAAAGACACAUUGAUCAUAUCCAGUAAAGAGGUGCUAACUAGAGGUAAAACUUCUUUUAGCAGUCUAGUUGGAAUAGGGUCUAGGAGACAGGUAGAUGAUUUAGAUGAGGAGAUCAGUGAGGUUAAUUUGUGGAGAUCGAUAGGAGAAAAGCAGUCUAAAUAUAUAUCAGGUUGUACAGCUGUUUCUAAGGUUCCUAAGUUUGAGGAUAAAUUGGUACCAGUUGACGGUAGGAGGUGAUUAAUUUUGUCUCUAAUAGUUAUGAGCUUAAGGGUAAAU